CACACACAUACACGUCAGAUAUUAACUGAAGGAAUACAAUUUGACAUUUUAAUCAUUUAGCAGACGGUCUUAUCCAGAACAACUUGGAGUUGGUGCAUUCAUCUUAAAGUACAUUUUACACAAUAAAUCAGCAUGGGCAAGUCUGAUAAUAGCUUUUAACUCCUCUAUCAGUGAGACUAGCCCAUGUAAUGUGGUAAAGAGGGUAUCAAGUAUUUAUUAUGUCCUCCAUGAUGAUAAUACAUCCCCAUUUCCUAUCUACAGGUAAUAUCUUCAGAGAUCACUGUAAAUCCUAUCCACAGAGAUCACUGUGAUUCCUCAAGUACUUCCCCCUUCACACACACUGACGUGAUGAAUUCCAGAUGUAGUUGGCAUGUUUUAUUAGCGGCUGGACGGCAGACAAUAGGUCUUUACCUCAAGACUCUUCUCUUCUCUCUCAAACGGCUGGACUGCAGACAAUAGGUCUUUACCUCAACAUUCUUCUCUCUCAAACGGCUGGACGGCAGACAAUAGGUCUUUACCUCAACACUCUUCUCUUCUCUCUCAAACGGCUGGACGGCAGACAGGUCUUUACCUCAACACUCUUCUCUCUCAGUAUCCCCUAGCUACCAGACUGUCUCCACUCGGUAGCCACUCACCACCAGAUUGACUGGAAGGGGGUCUUUGACUGUAUAAUCAGAAUCACCUUUAGCCAACAAGGACAUUUACAUAUACCCAGAAUUAGAUUUGGUGAAAUAGUGCCGCUACGGCCAAUAGAAUCAACAAAGAAUAUAGACAAUAAACAGAACACACAAUAGAUACUCAUCGUUAUCACCCUUAGUAUCAGCAGAACUAGCAGCAGCCUCAACUGAUUUAACAAGAGUCACAAAGACCGAUUACACAACAACUUCAUAUCAGUUUCCUUCUAAUGUUAACUAUUAGGAGUCCUGGGCAACAUUCGUAGAGCUUCUCUCAAAUGUUAACAGUGUAAUUAAUCUAUCUAGAGGAUGUGGGUGUGACUAACACAAUGAAACAGAAGGAUGAAUCUGGGCUCCUGCAGAGACAUUUCCUCCUCUGCUUCCUCUUCUGUGCUCUAUCUCACGGCUCAGUUGUAGAGAGCUGAACCACUACGCUCCCUUGUGGCAUCUUUUCAAUCUACAACCGUUCAUAAAUUCCUACAUCCCUUGAGACAACUUCUCCUCUAACACUUUGCUUUAGGAGGGGCAUCACAGUAAUUCCUUCACAUCUCCUCACUAACCAA
rnacentral:lncRNA from 13 species